rnacentral:sRNA from 1 species
AUGAAAUCGAUUGAAAUUGGUGGUAUUCAGAGAUUCGAUCCGAAUGGUAAUGUGAACAAUGUGGGAUUUCGGUGGAAGAAAUGGCUGCGCGGUUUCGAGCUGUACGCAGUGUGGAAAGGCGUGACAAGGGCAGAUCAGAAGACAGCUCUCCUGUUACACUCAGCAGGAAAUGAAGUACAAGAUAUUUACUUCACACUCACGGAAACGGAUCCAGGUGAAAACCAGACUGUGUGCGACGUUGCGUGUGGAGUGCUGGUGAAUUUGUUAGUUGACUCUAGAGCAACUGUCAACGUCAUGGAGCAGAAGUUAUGGGAAUCUCUGAAGGUAAACAGAGUAAAGUGCAUUAGUAAGAAGUCCUCGAAGGAAUUGUUUGCGUAUGGUGGAAAACCCCUAACAGUUAUUGGGAGCUUCCAAGUAGAUGUGAGCUUGUGCAACGGAAAGAGUGUAAACACAUAUUUUUUUGUGAUUCAAGAGGAGGCACCUGGUAUUCUGGGGAAAGACACAGCUGUGAAUCUUGGACUUUUGAAACUUGAGUUAGCUAAUGUUAACAGAAGAUUCGAACCAAAAUACCGCAAGUAUGUGACUUUCACAUUGAUGAUUUCGAAGUUCGUGACAGAGAUUCAGAGCUCAAAGAAAAAGGAAGAGAAUACAGCGAUACCAAGCGUGGAAGUUCUUGUGAAACAAACACAAAACAGUUACAAAAUGACUCCAACUAUCCGACCAGAGCCGAUGACAGUGAAGACCAAAUAUGGGAACAGUUUGACUCUGGACGCAGAUGGGGUUGAAUACAAGCGGAACAUUACUCAUGUUAAAAAUUUCCUUGAAAAACAUGAUGACCCACAGGAAGUCAAGCAAAAUGACGUGGAAUCCAAAGCAAUUACAGAUGAUAAUGAGAAGAUCAAAAUGCGGCCGAGUGAUACCGGGAAACCUGGAAUUGUGGAACCUGAACAUGACAUAGAGACUACAAGCAGACCGCAAAGAACGCAAAAUAUUCCUUUGCGUUUCCAGGAUUAUGUGAUGGGGAUAUGA